rnacentral:rRNA from 1 species
GAUGAACGCUGGCGGCGUGCCUAAUACAUGCAAGUCGAGCGAACGGACGAGAAGCUUGCUUCUCUGAUGUUAGCGGCGGACGGGUGAGUAACACGUGGAUAACCUACCUAUAAGACUGGGAUAACUUCGGGAAACCGGAGCUAAUACCGGAUAAUAUUUUGAACCGCAUGGUUCAAAAGUAAAAGACGGUCUUGCUGUCACUUAUAGAUGGAUCCGCGCUGCAUUAGCUAGUUGGUAAGGUAACGGCUUACCAAGGCAACGAUGCAUAGCCGACCUGAGAGGGUGAUCGGCCACACUGGAACUGAGACACGGUCCAGACUCCUACGGGAGGCAGCAGUAGGGAAUCUUCCGCAAUGGGCGAAAGCCUGACGGAGCAACGCCGCGUGAGUGAUGAAGGCCUUCGGAUCGUAAAACUCUGUUAUUAGGGAAGAAUAUAUGUGUAAGUAACUGUGCACAUCUUGACGGUACCUAAUCAGAAAGCCACGGCUAACUACGUGCCAGCAGCCGCGGUAAUACGUAGGUGGCAAGCGUUAUCCGGAAUUAUUGGGCGUAAAGCGCGCGUAGGCGGUUUUUUAAGUCUGAUGUGAAAGCCCACGGCUCAACCGUGGAGGGUCAUUGGAAACUGGAAAACUUGAGUGCAGAAGAGGAAAGUGGAAUUCCAUGUGUAGCGGUGAAAUGCGCAGAGAUAUGGAGGAACACCAGUGGCGAAGGCGACUUUCUGGUCUGUAACUGACGCUGAUGUGCGAAAGCGUGGGGAUCAAACAGGAUUAGAUACCCUGGUAGUCCACGCCGUAAACGAUGAGUGCUAAGUGUUAGGGGGUUUCCGCCCCUUAGUGCUGCAGCUAACGCAUUAAGCACUCCGCCUGGGGAGUACGACCGCAAGGUUGAAACUCAAAGGAAUUGACGGGGACCCGCACAAGCGGUGGAGCAUGUGGUUUAAUUCGAAGCAACGCGAAGAACCUUACCAAAUCUUGACAUCCUUUGACAACUCUAGAGAUAGAGCCUUCCCCUUCGGGGGACAAAGUGACAGGUGGUGCAUGGUUGUCGUCAGCUCGUGUCGUGAGAUGUUGGGUUAAGUCCCGCAACGAGCGCAACCCUUAAGCUUAGUUGCCAUCAUUAAGUUGGGCACUCUAAGUUGACUGCCGGUGACAAACCGGAGGGAGGUGGGGAUGACGUCAAAUCAUCAUGCCCCUUAUGAUUUGGGCUACACACGUGCUACAAUGGACAAUACAAAGGGCAGCGAAACCGCGAGGUCAAGCAAAUCCCAUAAAGUUGUUCUCAGUUCGGAUUGUAGUCUGCAACUCGACUACAUGAAGCUGGAAUCGCUAGUAAUCGUAGAUCAGCAUGCUACGGUGAAUACGUUCCCGGGUCU